GAAGCCAACAUGGAAAAUGAAUACAGGAAAUGCAGGCAACAGCAUUAUAUCACAGCAUUUCGUAACAGUAGCUAAAAGCAACAGAAGCAAACUAUUUUUUCUGAUGUAGUUUAUAAAUACGAUACAUUUACACCAGAACCACACACUACAGCCUCAGUGUCAUGAUUGUGGUGAGAACAGUCCACCACUUAUUUCUUCAAGUACAGACCUGUUUGACCUAUACGCUAAAUGCAACAAGGUUAUGUACAUAAUAAACUGCUAUUCUAACAUCUGGGUGCUGUGGGUGUUAUCUUUAUUUUACUUGAGCACAGUGCGAUACUUUGCUUCAUUUACACUCAUUGUUUUUAACUUAGUGUAUAAUAUAGCAUUUUUUUUUUAGAUUUGCAGGUCCCUCCUCCUGGCAACCAUCAGACUGUGUAACUGUCCUCAGCUUAUCUGAAUUUGUAAUACCUAUCUGAUGUAAUAUUGCUGAUUACAGGAGCAUCUGAUAUGGAUAGUGCAAGUUUUCAUUCCAACCAAGCAGAAACCACAUCUAAGUCUACUGAAAGGCACAUCUCCCGACUUACGGGUUUCAGUAGAGAGCGAAGCGCUCGAGGAGUCUGCCUUCGCCGUGCCUGUGUCGCUGGCCGUUGCGUCAGGCUGUGCUACGGCUACGGACAGGAGACAUCGGCAGGACGUUGGUGAGGAUGAGGCUGAUGUCAGGGUGGGAAGGUCCGUGGUGGGGGUUGUGUUUGGAGCACUGUCCUGGGCGCAGAGAGAGGAAGAGUCCAUGGCUGGUUGGGAGGACAGGGCCUCCAGUUUUUCUGCUUCAGAUGCUAAACACAUCUAAAAUACAAGCAUCAAUACAUGUGUACACAUCAGCACACACGUCGAUUGGACAGAACAAAAAUCUUUUACAAUAAAGAUGAUUCAAGAACAACUGCACAGAAUAAUAAACAGGUUU